UCAGCCCCGGCGCUCUCUCAUCCCUUCUCUCUUCCUUGGUGCUUCUUUUUCCUGCUCGGUGAGUUUGUUUGUUUGUUUGUUUUUGAGACAGAGUCUCACUUUGCUUCCCAGGCUGGAGUGCAGUGGUGCGAUCUCAGCUUACUGCAGCCUCCGCUUCCGGGGUUCAAGCGAUUCUCCUGCCUCAGCCUGCCAAGUAGCUGGGACUACCGGCGCCCACCACCACGCCUGGCUAAUUUUUGAAUUUUUAGUAGAGAGUGGGUUUCACUAUGUUGGCCAGGCUGGUCUGGAACGCCUGACCUCAAGUGAUCCGUCCGCCUCGGCCUUCCAAAGUUCUGGGAUUACAGGCGUGAGCCACCGCGCCCGGCCUGAGUGAGUCUUAAUCCGUGGCCAUCUGCGUUCCUGCAGGCUUCAUCUGGCCCUAUGGUCCCCUGGCAUCAUGGCUGCCCUCAGAUCCCUUGUGAAGCCCAAGAUCGUCAAAAAGAGAACCAAGAAAUUCAUCCGGCACCAGUCAGACCGAUAUGUCAAAAUCAAGAUGAGAAGAAUAAUGUCUGGGGUGAAGGUGAAGCACCCAGCCCAAGACUCAGCAGCCAGGAAGUGGCCCAGCGCUCUUUAUACCACGGGUGCAGGAAUUCACACAGAAAAGUGGAGGCCAAGGCGUGAGAAUUCCUCAAUGACUGCCCUCUAAAGGAAGAGGUCCAUUUCUGGGGAAUGGAGCUCAGCUCAUGUGCAUUUGGGAAACUCCUCCAGCGCUAUCAGAUUACUGGAGUCUGAGAGGAUGGUGACCAGCUAUCCGCCACCAGGAGGAUGCAAACCAGUUCCUGAGAACCUACUGAAUCCUCACAGCAGCCUGUGACGUAGGUCCAAUCCCUUUUCACAGACAAGAAACCCAACCCUGGAGAGAUCGGGAACCCAUCUGCCUCAGUCAGUUACCACGUGACAGCUCACACUGCCCACUGCUGUCUCCUACUGUGUGGCCACUCUGCCCCUGGAGCAAGGCUGUGGCCCAGAUGCCCAGACGCCAGUGAGCUCUGCUCCCGUGUCCUCAGGGCUUUUGCCUGCUGAUAUGGUUUGGCUGUGUCCCCACCCAGAUCUCAUCUUGAAUUCCCAUGUGUUGUGGGAGGGACCCCGUGGCGGGUAAUUGAAUCAUGGGGCAGGUCUUUCCCAUGCUGUUCUCAUGAUAGUAAGUCUCACGAGAUCUGAUGGUUUUAAAAAGAGGAGUUCCCCUGCACAAGCUCUCUGUUUGCCUGCUGCCAUCCAUAUAAGCUGUGACUUGCUCUUCCUUGCCUUCUGCCAUGAUCAUGAGGCUUCCUUAGCCAUGUGGAACUGCAAGUCUAAUUAGACCUCUUUCUUUUGUAAA
rnacentral:lncRNA from 1 species